GCUAAGUACGUGCCGGAGGCGGCGGGAGUCCGGAGGGGGGGGGGGUGGUCCGGAAUUAUUGGGCGGAAAGAGCUCGUAGGCGGCCUGUCGCGUCGGAUGUGAAAGCCCGGGGCUUAACCCCGGGUCUGCAUUCGAUACGGGCAGGCUGGAGUGUGGUAGGGGAGAUCGGAAUUCCUGGUGUAGCGGUGAAAUGCGCAGAUAUCAGGAGGAACACCGGUGGCGAAGGCGGAUCUCUGGGCCAUUACUGACGCUGAGGAGCGAAAGCGUGGGGAGCGAACAGGAUUAGAUACCCCAGUAGUC
rnacentral:rRNA from 1 species